rnacentral:rRNA from 1 species
GAUGAACGCUAGCGAUAGGCUUAACACAUGCAAGUCGAGGGGCAGCAUGGUCUUAGCUUGCUAAGGCUGAUGGCGACCGGCGCACGGGUGCGUAACGCGUAUGCAACUUGCCUCACAGAGGGGGAUAACCCGUCGAAAGACGGACUAAUACCGCGUACACUCUAUGUUGGGCAUCCAAUGUAGAGGAAAUGAAAUUCGCUGUGAGAUAGGCAUGCGUCCCAUUAGCUAGUUGGUGAGGUAACGGCUCACCAAGGCGACGAUGGGUAGGGGAACUGAGAGGGUGAGCCCCCACACUGGUACUGAGACACGGACCAGACUCCUACGGGAGGCAGCAGUGAGGAAUAUUGGUCAAUGGGCGAGAGCCUGAACCAGCCAAGUCGCGUGAAGGAUGACUGUCUUAUGGAUUGUAAACUUCUUUUAUACGGGAAUAACAAGAGUCACGUGUGGCUCCCUGCAUGUACCGUAUGAAUAAGCAUCGGCUAACUCCGUG